rnacentral:rRNA from 1 species
GUACGCUGGCGGCACGCCUAACACAUGCAAGUCGAACGCAGUAGCAAUACUGAGUGGCAGACGGGUGAGUAUAAUGUGGGAAUCUGCCUUUUGGUUUGGAAUAACACGGGGAAACUUGUGCUAAUACCGGAUAAGCCCUUACGGGGAAAGUUUUAACGCCGAAAGAUGAGCCCGCACUUGAUUAGCUAGUUGGUAAGGUAAAAGCUUACCAAGGCAACGAUCAAUAGCUGUUCUUAGAGGAAGACCAGCCACAUUGGGACUGAGACACGGCCCAGACUCCUACGGGAGGCAGCAGUGGGGAAUCUUGCACAAUGGGGGAAACCCUGAUGCAGCGAUGCCGCGUGAGUGAAGAAGGCCCUUGGGUUGUAAAACUCUUUCGUCGGGGAAGAAAAUGACUGUACCCGAAUAAGAAGGUCCGGCUAA